CACGCCGUAAACGAUGAGUGCUAGGUGUCGGGGGUCAAACCUCGGUGCCGGAGUUAACGCAUUAAGCACUCCGCCUGGGGAGUACGUUCGCAAGAAUGAAACUCAAAGGAAUUGACGGGGACCCGCACAAGCAGCGGAGCAUGUGGUUUAAUUCGAAGCAACGCGAAGAACCUUACCUGGACUUGACAUCCCUCAGACCAUUUCUUAACCGAAAUUUUCCCUUCGGGGACUGAGGUGACAGGUGG
rnacentral:rRNA from 1 species